UACGUAGGUCCCGAGCGUUGUCCGGAUUUAUUGGGCGUAAAGCGAGCGCAGGUGGUUUAAUAAGUCUGAUGUAAAAGGCAGUGGCUCAACCAUUGUGUGCAUUGGAAACUGUUAGACUUGAGUGCAGUAGAGGAGAGUGGAAUUCCAUGUGUAGCGGUGAAAUGCGUAGAUAUAUGGAGGAACACCGGUGGCGAAAGCGGCUCUCUGGACUGUAACUGACACUGAGGCUCGAAAGCGUGGGGAGCAAACAGG
rnacentral:rRNA from 1 species